AGAGUUUGAUCCUGGCUCAGGAUGAACGCUAGCUACAGGCUUAACACAUGCAAGUCGAGGGGCAGCAUCGCGAUAGCUUGCUAUUGCGGAUGGCGACCGGCGCACGGGUGAGUAACGCGUAUCCAACCUUCCCGCAACUGGGGAAUAACCUUGCGAAAGUAAGACUAAUACCCCAUGGUCUCCACGGAUGGCAUCUGAAGUGGAGUAAAGGUUUCGGCCGGUUGCGGAUGGGGAUGCGUCCGAUUAGCUUGACGGCGGGGUAACGGCCCACCGUGGCAUCGAUCGGUAGGGGUUCUGAGAGGAAGGUCCCCCACAUUGGAACUGAGACACGGUCCAAACUCCUACGGGAGGCAGCAGUGAGGAAUAUUGGUCAAUGGGCGGAAGCCUGAACCAGCCAAGUAGCGUGAAGGACGACUGCCCUAUGGGUUGUAAACUUCUUUUAUGCGGGGAUAAAGUUCGCCACGUGUGGCGUUUUGCAGGUACCGCAUGAAUAAGGACCGGCUAAUUCCGUGCCAGCAGCCGCGGUAAUACGGAAGGUCCAGGCGUUAUCCGGAUUCAUUGGGUUUAAAGGGAGCGUAGGCCGCCUUUUAAGCGUGUUGUGAAAUGUAGGGGCUCAACCCCUGCACUGCAGCGCGAACUGGAGGGCUUGAGUACACACAAAGUAGGCGGAAUUCAUGGUGUAGCGGUGAAAUGCUUAGAUAUCAUGAAGAACCCCGAUUGCGAAGGCAGCUUACUGGAGUGUAACUGACGCUGAAGCUCGAAAGCGCGGGUAUCGAACAGGAUUAGAUACCCUGGUAGUCCGCGCGGUAAACGAUGGAUGCCCGCUGUUUGCCACUUUGGUAAGCGGCCAAGCGAAAGCGUUAAGCAUCCCACCUGGGGAGUACGCCGGCAACGGUGAAACUCAAAGGAAUUGACGGGGGCCCGCACAAGCGGAGGAACAUGUGGUUUAA
rnacentral:rRNA from 1 species